GACGAACGCUGGCGGCGUGCUUAACACAUGCAAGUCGAACGGAAGGGCCCUGCGUUUGUGGGGUGCUCGAGUGGCGAACGGGGGAGUAACACGUGAGUAACCUGCCCUUGACUUUGGGAUAACUUCAGGAAACUGGGGCUAAUACCGGAUAGGAGCUCCUGCUGCAUGGUGGGGGUUGGAAAGUGUCGGCGGUGGUGGAUGGACUCGCGGCUUAUCAGCUGGUUGGUGUGGUAGUGGCUUACCAAGUCUUUGAAGGGUAGCAGGCCCUGGAGCGUGACCGGCCCCAUGAGGACUGCGGUACGGCGCAGUCUCCUACGGUCGGCAGCAGUGGGGAAUAUUGCACAAUGGGCGGAAGCCUGAUACAGCGGCGCCGCGUUCGGGAUGCCGGCUUUCGGGGUGUGAACCGCUUUCUCCUUUGACGUAGCCUGAGUGACGGUACUUGGUCAAGAAGCACCGGCUAACUACGUG
rnacentral:rRNA from 1 species